rnacentral:rRNA from 1 species
GAUGAACGCUGGCGGCGUGCCUAAUACAUGCAAGUCGAGCGCACGGACGAGAAGCUUGCUUCUCUGAUGUUAGCGGCGGACGUGCGAGUAACACGUUGAUAACCUACCUAUAAGACUGGGAUAACUUCGGGAAACCGGAGCUAAUACCGGAUAAUAUUUUGAACUUCAUUGUUCAAAAGUGAAAGACGGUCUUGCUGUCACUUAUAGAUGGAUCCGCGCUGCAUUAUCUAGUUGGUAAGGUAACGGCUUACCAAGGCAACGAUGCAUAGCCGACCUGAGAGGGGGUUCGGCCACACUGGAACUGGACCACGGUCCAGACUCCUACGGGAGGCAGCAGUAGGGAAUCUUCGGCAAUGGGCGAAAGCCUGACGGGGCAACGCGGCGGGAGUGAUGAAGUUUUCCGGAUCGUAAAACUCGGUUAUUAGGGAAGAACAUAUGUGUAAGUAACUGUGCACAUCUUGACGGUACCUAAUCAGAAAGCCACGGCUAACUACGUG